UGCCAGCAGCCGCGGUAAGACAGAAGGGGCGAGUGUUAUUCGGAAUGAUUGGGCGUAAAGGGCACGUAGGCGGCUCUUUAAGUAAAAGGUUAAAAUCCAGAGCUUGACUGUGGGCCCGCUUUUUAAACUGAAAAGCUUGAGCUUGAAAGAGGAUAUUAGAAUUUCGAGUGGAGAGGUCAAAUUCUUAGAUAUUCGGAGGAAUACCAAAUGCGAAGGCAUAUAUCUGGUUCAAAGCUGACGCUGAGGUGCGAAAGCAUGGGGAGCAAACGGGAUUAGAUA
rnacentral:rRNA from 1 species